AAAGUUUGGGGAACGGUAAAGACAGAUUGCCAAUUUUGACAUGCCUAGACAUUUCAAGCUAGAUGGUGAGUAAACAUUUGUACAUUCAUGUGUGGACUGCAGGAGAGAGAGCUGAAUCAUCACCCGUAAGCUGUCCCAAAGCUGUCGACACAGCCAAGGUUAGCCAGGGAGAACGAGUUGAGUGAGAAAAAGGCCUAGGAUGAAAACCUAGGGAAUUUCCAAUACGUCAGAGUCAAUAAAGGGAGAGGGAUUUGCAAAAGAGGCCGAAAAAGAGCAGCCGGCGAAGUAGAAGGAAAGCAAGGUAAAAGGGACGUCGGGUACCCUGUUCCAGGCAUUGGUCGUAUGACACGUCGUUCAUUCCUUGUAACAGGCCGGCAAGCAGCUUCCAGGUGCCACCACUCUCCCCCUUCUACCCCACAUCUGGGCGGCUGAUACGGGACACCAGGUGCCCUCUCCCUUGGCUUCCGCGGGAAGGUCCAACCAGGUAAGCCAAGGAGACCCUUGCCAAGGAGAACUCUCGGCCCGGCCCGGCCAUGGAAACCCCAAGCAGAUCCCCUUUCUCUGCUCUCUCAAGCUGUUUCUGGACCUGCUUCCAUGCUGCCCUCCUCAGAGGCUGCAUCGUUUAUUUUCAGAGUCGAAAAAUCUUGUGGAGAAUGAAGACGCUGACACUGCGUUUUACACGCUAUUCCCACUGGCGGGAAGAAUCACAUUUUCCCAGAAGCCCCUGAGUCUGGAGCCUGGUGAGCUCUCCUGCCUUUGCUCACCUGGAAACACCUGCAGUAGGAACCCAGGGAUUCCCGGCUAGCCUGUGCGCGCCCAGGACGGAAGAUGUAACCACGACAGACUUGCAGACGAGCCUUUCCCUAAGCAGUAUAAGGACAUUUCCUACAGGGUCAGUGUAACAGGCAGGAUGGAGAGACUUGCAUCUGAGAGCAUAAACAUCUCAGAGUGCGUGGAAGCUGAUGGACGUGUAAUCCACGCAUCUCCUAGAAGCAGCUGAAGAAGGCAAGGAAAUGGAUUCUCCUCUAGAGCCUGGGGGGCGGCGCGGAGGACUCAGCCCAGCCAAACAUCCGCAGCCCAGUGACACCCACCUCAGACUUCUGCCCUAGAGAACUGUAAGAUAAUACAUUUGUGUUGCUUUAAGCCAGCAAAUCUGUGGCAAUUUGUUACAGCAGCAAU